GACGUAGGGCGCAAGCGUUGUCCGGAUUUAUUGGGCGUAAAGAGCUCGUAGGCGGCUUGUUGCGUCGUCCGUGAAAACCUGUGGCUCAACUACAGGCUUGCGGUCGAUACGGGCAGGCUAGAGUUCGGUAGGGGAGACUGGAAUUCCUGGUGUAGCGGUGAAAUGCGCAGAUAUCAGGAGGAACACCGAUGGCGAAGGCAGGUCUCUGGGCCGAUACUGACGCUGAGGAGCGAAAGCGUGGGGAGCGAACAGG
rnacentral:rRNA from 1 species